GACGAACGCUGGCGGCGUGCUUAACACAUGCAAGUCGAACGGAAAGGCCCUGCUUUUGUGGUGUGCUCGAGUGGCGAACGGGUGAGUAACACGGGAGUAACCUGCCCUUGACUGUGGGAUAACUUCAGGAAACUGGGGCUAAUACCGGAUAGGAGCUCCUGCUGCAUGGUGGGGGUUGGAAAGUUUCGGCGGUUGGGGAUGGACUCGCGGCUUAUCAGCUUGUUGGUGGGGUAGUGGCUUACCAAGGCUUUGACGGGUAGCCGGCCUGAGAGGGUGACCGGCCACGUUGGGACUGGGAUACGGCCCGGACUCCUACGGGGGGCAGCAGUGGGAAAUAUUGCACAAUGGGCGGAAGCCUGAUGAAGCAACGCCGCGGGCGGGAUGACGGCCUUCGGGUUGUAAACCGCUUUCGCAUGUGACGAAGCGUGAGUGACGGUAAUGGGUAAAGAAGCACCGGCUAACUACGUG
rnacentral:rRNA from 1 species